AGUGGCGCACGGGUGAGUAACGCGUGGGUAAUCUACCCUUGGAUUUGGGAUAACUCUGCGAAAGUGGAGCUAAUACCGGAUAGUCUGGCUUUAAAUAAGAAGUCGGUAAAGGAUGCCUCUGCAUAUGCAUUCGUCCGAGGAUGAGCCCGCGUCUCAUUAGCUAGUUGGUAGGGUAAUGGCCUACCAAGGCAACGAUGAGUAGCUGGUCUGAGAGGAUGAUCAGCCACACUGGAACUGAAACACGGUCCAGACUCCUACGGGAGGCAGCAGUGGGGAAUAUUGCGCAAUGGGCGAAAGCCUGACGCAGCAACGCCGUGUGAGGGAUGAAGGCUUUCGGGUCGUAAACCUCUGUCGGAAGGGAAGAACGGGCAUUGGUCUAAUAGGCCUUUGUUUUGACGGUACCUUUAGAGGAAGCACCGGCUAACUCCGUGCCAGCAGCCGCGGUAAUACGGAGGGUGCAAGCGUUAUUCGGAAUUACUGGGCGUAAAGCGCACGUAGGCGGCCUUGUAAGUCAGGGGUGAAAUCCCACGGCUCAACCGUGGAACUGCCUUUGAAACUGCAGGGCUUGAAUCCUGGAGAGGGUGGCGGAAUUCCUGGUGUAGGAGUGAAAUCCGUAGAUAUCAGGAGGAACACCGGUGGCGAAGGCGGCCACCUGGACAGGUAUUGACGCUGAGGUGCGAAAGUGUGGGG
rnacentral:rRNA from 1 species